CCCUUAGACGUUCUGGGCCGCACGCGCGCUACACUGACUAGUCCAACGAGUGUUUGUACCUUUGCUGAUAGGCAUGGGCAAUCUCUGAACGCUAGUCGUGCUAGGGAUCGAUUUUUGGAAUUAUUAAUCGUCAACGAGGAAUUCCUAGUAAACGCGAGUCAUCAGCUCGCAUUGAUUACGUCCCUGCCCUUUGUACACACCGCCCGUCGCACCUACCGAUUGAAUGGUGCGGUGAAGCCUCCGGAUUGGACAUGUCGGCCCUGCCGCGUGUCCGAGAAGUUGGCUAAAUCUUACCAUUUAGAGGAAGGUGAAGUCGUAACA
rnacentral:rRNA from 1 species